rnacentral:rRNA from 1 species
UAAUACUGGUUGAUCCUGCCAGAGGCUACUGCUAUCAGAGUUCGAUUAAGCCAUGUUAGUCGAGGGAUGGUCAUCCGAUGCUUGCAUCUGAUGACCAAACCGGCGGACGGCUCAGUAACACGUGGACAACUUGCCCUUGGGUCCGGGAUAACCCCGGGAAACUGGGGCUAAUACCGGAUGGGACAUCGCUUGCUGGAAUGCAGGAUGUCCAAAAGCUGAGGCGCCCAAGGAUAGGUCUGCGGCCGAUUAGGUUGUUGUUGAUGUAACGGAUCAACAAGCCUACGAUCGGUACGGGUUGUGAGAGCAAUAGCCCGGAGAUGGGUUCUGAGAAAAGAACCCAGGUCCUACGGGACGCAUCAGGCGCGAAAACUUUACAAUGU